UAUUACAAAAAGAUGUUGCCUGGUGACCUGUCAGAAACCCAUUAUACAGAGUCAGCCAAAAUAAUGUUUACACACAUCAGGAAAAGAAAAACUUGCAUAAAUAUUUCAAUGCCAAAUUUAUUCAGACAUCACCAGAUUAAUAAAAGUUAUCUUUGGCCUCUACAAUUACAAGAGGUGCUCAAAGUGGUGGCCACUGGCUUCCAGACAUUUCUGUUGUGUUGUCGACGUCACUUGUUGAUGCUCCAUUCAUGAGGGUAGCGCCAUCUGGUGGGAAAACAUCGUACAACAGGACACAGAGUUAUCGUGAUUUGAUCAAACUUAGAAAGAGGAAUCUAUAUGUAUAGAAGUACUUAUACAAAUGAAAUAUCUAUAAAAGUUUUUCUUUUCCUGAUGUGUGUUUACAUUAUUUUGGCUGACUCUGACUCUGUGAACUUAAUGAGAACAAAACUGUGAUUUAAUUGUUGCUCUGAAAGCUUCUUUAGUGAAAACCGGCUGGUGUUCUGCUUUGAAACAAACUGCUGUUGAGGUCUGUGUUUUUAGGUUUAACCUCACAGUUUCUAAAUGAACUGAUAGUUUUGUUUUUCCUAAUCAAUGUGGACGUUAUAAUUGAUGGUAACAUUUACUGAUCAUAUAAUCAGCAUGACAAUAUAACAGUAUAACAUUAUGACCACCUGACUAAUACUGUGUUGGUCCCUUUAUGCUGCUAAAACUCCUCUGACCCAGUGGUUCAUCAGAACCUCUGGGGAUGUCCUGUGGAUUCUGUGGAUCCUGUGGGUUGCAGGGUGGGUCCUACCUAGACCAGGCUGAUCCUGGACCAUCCCACAGAUGCUCCAUCAGAUCUGGAUGUGGGGAGUGUGGAACCCAGAUGUUCAGAGGGAGAUGAUGCCACAUCUGGUCCAGCUGAUGGAAGGUCUUGAAGUUCUCUGACUGGCCUCGACUGAAGAUGGUCGUCUCAUUGGAUUUAAGGUUCAGAUGCUCAGUAACAAACUCCACCAAUGAGCCAACAGGGAAGCUUUAGGUUUAUUAAAUGUUGCUAUGAAGGUUUCGCUGUUUUUCUUUGUGAAUACAAUGUGCUCCACCUGAAACUUGAACUAGAACUUAGAAGUAAAUCCUUCCAUCUGAAAGGAUUUAGUUGCAUUAAUAACCUCAUAACAUUCUAAUUUUUAUUCCAGUCUUGGUUGGAAAUGGAAUCUCUGUAUUGAUUCAGGUAAAAACUGAACUUCACAGCAUGUUGGAGCAGAACAACCAGAUGAAAACUGUGAUGGUGUUGGAUUGUCAGACCGUAAUGUUGCAGCUCAAAGCAGCUUUUCUAGCUCAGUUCAUUCUGACAUUCAGCUAUGAAUCAACACAGCAGAUGGUGAUCCAUGCUGUGGAAGUCUCACAUCUCCUGAUUUAAUGGAGCUGCUUUGCACUUUUUACACUGUUUAUUCACCAACACUUUAUUUAAUAAAAGUCCCAUCUAGUUUUUAUGAGGAAUGUGAUGUUUUAAUUUCUCUGUGAAUAACUGCAGUCUAAUGCAACAGCUGGAGUUGUAACAUCUGUCCUGAUAUUGAUCAUGAAAUAUUGAUCAGAAUACUGAUGGUUAACAGUCAUCUCUGAAAUUUUACAUUAAAAUCUUUACUUGUGUUUUGAACUUUGGUAAGAAGCAGAAACGUUAGCGUUGCCAUGGAUACAUGAGUGUUAAAUUCUGUUCAUGUUUUUAUUUUGGGAAAUGCAGUCCAGUUGCAGAAUGUGGAGGAAUUUAGUCUCACAAUCACAGACAACAAAUAUUAUCUGAAAGUCGGGUUAUUGUUGUUUAUCAGCACAAUACAAAAAGAUUAAUGCUAGAAAUAUUCCAGUUAAUACUCUGGAAUAUCAUGAUUUAUGUAAAUUUACCUCAAUAAUAUGAAUGUUCAGGUUAAGAUUGUACAGUGAUAUUUAUUAUGUAAGUUUAGCUGAUUAAAGUUUAGGACUCUGCACUAAAAUAUUAUUUAAGUUGACAUCAUUAUUAUAAUAUUUAGGGUCAGACUCUACAGUAUUGAGAUUAAGAAAUCAAAUAUUCUAUAAAAUGUAAAUACACUGAACUCAUUUGGAUAUAUUAGAAUCUACAAUAUUAUUUAUGACACAAAUCUAUCUAAAUCAAAAUUUUAAUCAUUUUUACUGCAAACAUUUACUGGACUGAUUUAAAUAUUAAAAUCACUCCUUUCUAAUCCUCUGCUGUACAUUCAAACCUGAGGCCUUAAAUAGAAACACACAAGUAUCUGAUUGAAGGAACUUCUGCAGAGUCCUGGUUCCAGAACAUGAUGAUAGAAUUAUAGACAAACUUUAACAAAAGCUGCCUGAGAGUUUACAGGUUUUUAUCUUAGAUUUCUUCACUAAUUUAAUGAGUUAUCAGCAAAAAUCAAGUGUUUAUUUGAUGAACUUCAUUUCCUAAAACAUCCAGAAUUGGAGCUCAUAUCUUUGGCAGCUGUAAAGUUUCUGCUCCUUCAAAGUUCACAACACAAUGAAUGAAUUCCUAAAACACUCUCAAUGCUGGAGAGCGUUUGAUGCUGAAGCAGUGAUCAGUUUUUCUGUUUCUUCUCUGGAGAUGCACAAUGAGGGACGUCUGCAGAGACUGAGAAAGAGUCUCACCACAUCCUGACAUGAGGAAAAAAACUUUAUUGAAGACUACAAUGAGAAAAAACUAUCAGACAGCAGAUGGCUGCAUUCAAGGUGAGCUCUGAACAUUUGAUCUGGAACAGGAAUUCAAUAACGGCAGCAUGAGCUUCAUUUCAGUCUGUAGCUGCUGAAUUCAUGGAUGAAUCAUCUGGCACUAGAGAGGAAGACCAUCAAACAUCCACAUCAGCUGAUGGAGGUCCUAGAGUCUCACCAAACAAACAACCUACAGAGUGAAGACCUCCAAUCUGAUUGGACGGCCUCCUAUUCAGCCACAUGUGUGAACAAAUGCCUCUAAGCUGAUUUGUUUUCUAAAAUAAAUCUAGUUUGAGUCCUAA